AGUUUGAUCUCAGACUGCUGUGCUAGCAAUCAGCGAGAUUCUGUGGGCGUAGGACCCUCCAAGCCAGGUGUGGGAUAUAGUCUCGUGGUGCACCGUUUUUUAAGCCGGUCUGAAAAGCGCAAUAUUCGGGUGGGAGUGACCCGCUUUUCCAGCAGUAGAAAACAGAUGAAUACACCUAGAUUUCUUCCUGCGUGAAUCCAGUUGAGGGGAAGGUAUAAAAUUUUCAAAUGGAGGAGUAUACCUGAACCUAAUCAUGGAUGUGAUUUUAUGUAAGUAAUAUGUGAGAUACAGAUAAGCUGAUUCUAAAACUUACAAGAAUGGCAAAGAAACAAGAAGAGCUUAAACUGCAAUCAUCAACAGAGAAGCUUUCUGCAACCAAAGUGAAGACUGAAGCCUUAGGCUAUGGCAGAAGUUGGGCGCCUGAAGUACACGUGGAAAUAUGCCAACUGAACAUUGGACUACCACGUCAAGGGUCUCCUACCCCUGGGCCAUGGAUCAAUACCAGUCUGUGACCUGUUAGGAACCGGUAGCAGGAGCGCCUGCCCCUGGCUCAGCGCCCGGUGCCAACAGAACACCUUUCAGGAUCCACAGCAACGCAGACAACAUUUUAAAGCACCUGAUGGAUUUGGAAAAUAUUUAAUGAAGACAAUGAUGCUGACAUCUCAAGUUAAAAGGUUCUACAGAGAAGGCAAAGAUUUUGAAGGCACAGGAGACUAUCAUAGAUAUUCACAACGGCAUCUCCCUAAAGGAUUUGAAAGCUUUGCAUCAACCAAAGGAAAAGCACCAGUGAGAGUCAAGAUACAGUUCCAGACAGAUGUAAUUGGUUAAGAUAAGAUCAUACUGGAUGUGGAUGGGUCCUAGAUCUGACUGCUGAUAUCCUUAUAAGAAGAAGAAAGGACACGCGGAGACUACAGUGAUGUUGCCACAAGCCAAGAAAUGCCAAGAAUUUCGGGAGCCACCAGAAGAUGGAAGAGGCAGGGAAAAAUCCUCCCCUAAAGCCUUCAGAGAGAGCAUAGCUCUGCCAACACCUUGAUUCUGGACAUCUAGCCUCUUAAACUUCCUCAGGUGUCUCAUUUCUUCUGUCUCAGAAGUCAUGGAUGUCAAUGAAGAUAUGGAAUUCACUUAUUCAUUCUUAUAAAUAUUACUUAGUGUCCUUGUGCUUGGCACUGUGCUUGGUCAUUGAGAUCUACUGUUCAAAAGCAAGAUAACAUACAGGCUGGAAUAGCGAGAUGCAAGAAUCCCAAGCCUUCAAAGCCAGCUCCUGCAGAAGAGAGAGGGCCUGGCAGCUGAGCUGGAUGCUUCAGGAGCAGAGGAUCUAUCAACUGCAGACCAAGCACAGGGAGACGCAGGCAAACCUGGAACAGUAACCCAGCCAGCUCCAAUUGCUCCGACAGUACUUGGUGGCCAGAGAGUCGGCAGCAGAAAGCAUGCCCCGGGCCGUGAAGCAGGAAAUCGACUCUGACUCAAUCCUUGAGGUCUGUAUUACAUCUGGGAGUACAACUUGAAGGGCCCCACACUCUUGUUUCUCAGCACCUCAUAAAUCUAAGCCCACGUGAAGUGAACAGAGCAUCCCUUCUUCAAGAGAAUGGAAAAAGAAAGGAUGCUGAGGAGGAACUGUUGGGGGCAGAGCCCUUGAAGCCAGCUGGCAAGACUGAGACCACUGAUCAAUGCUUUGCCCACUGAAAGGACAACCUUAUAAAGAAUUGGAACCAUUAAGCUUUAAUUUUUAGAAAUUUGGAUGCUAGAGGGAAUGGUCUUUAGGGACCGCUGCGGUCCCUAAACCCAUCAUCUGCUCUGGUGCCAGGAUACAAAUC
rnacentral:lncRNA from 1 species